rnacentral:rRNA from 1 species
GAAGAGAAAGAAAAUUCGAUUCCCUUAGUAGCGGCGAGCGAAACGGGAAGAGCCCAAACCAACAAGCUUGCUUGUUGGGGUUGUAGGACACUCUAUACGGAGUUACAAAGGACGACAUUAGACGAAUCAUCUGGAAAGAUGAAUCAAAGAAGGUAAUAAUCCUGUAGUCGAAAAUGUUGUCUCUCUUGAGUGGAUCCUGAGUACGACGGAGCACGUGAAAUUCCGUCGGAAUCUGGGAGGACCAUCUCCUAAGGCUAAAUACUCUCUAGUGACCGAUAGUGAACCAGUACCGUGAGGGAAAGGUGAAAAGCACCCCGGAAGGGGAGUGAAAUAGAACCUGAAACCGUGUGCUUACAAGUAGUCAGAGCCCGUUAAUGGGUGAUGGCGUGCCUUUUGUAGAAUGAACCGGCGAGUUACGAUUUGAUGCAAGGUUAAGCAGUAAAUGUGGAGCCGUAGCGAAAGCGAGUCUGAAUAGGGCGUUUAGUAUUUGGUCGUAGACCCGAAACCAGGUGAUCUACCCUUGGUCAGGUUGAAGUUCAGGUAACACUGAAUGGAGGACCGAACCGACUUACGUUGAAAAGUGAGCGGAUGAACUGAGGGUAGCGGAGAAAUUCCAAUCGAACCUGGAGAUAGCUGGUUCUCUCCGAAAUAGCUUUAGGGCUAGCCUCAAGUGAUGAUUAUUGGAGGUAGAGCACUGUUUGGACGAGGGGCCCCUCUCGGGUUACCGAAUUCAGACAAACUCCGAAUGCCAAUUAAUUUAACUUGGGAGUCAGAACAUGGGUGAUAAGGUCCGUGUUCGAAAGGGAAACAGCCCAGACCACCAGCUAAGGUCCCAAAAUAUAUGUUAAGUGGAAAAGGAUGUGGCGUUGCCCAGACAACUAGGAUGUUGGCUUAGAAGCAGCCAUCAUUUAAAGAGUGCGUAAUAGCUCACUAGUCGAGUGACACUGCGCCGAAAAUGUACCGGGGCUAAACAUAUUACCGAAGCUGUGGAUUGUCCUUUGGACAAUGGUAGGAGAGCGUUCUAAGGGCGUUGAAGCAUGAUCGUAAGGACAUGUGGAGCGCUUAGAAGUGAGAAUGCCGGUGUGAGUAGCGAAAGACGGGUGAGAAUCCCGUCCACCGAUUGACUAAGGUUUCCAGAGGAAGGCUCGUCCGCUCUGGGUUAGUCGGGUCCUAAGCUGAGGCCGACAGGCGUAGGCGAUGGAUAACAGGUUGAUAUUCCUGUACCACCUAUAAUCGUUUUAAUCGAUGGGGGGACGCAGUAGGAUAGGCGAAGCGUGCGAUUGGAUUGCACGUCUAAGCAGUAAGGCUGAGUAUUAGGCAAAUCCGGUACUCGUUAAGGCUGAGCUGUGAUGGGGAGAAGACAUUGUGUCUUCGAGUCGUUGAUUUCACACUGCCGAGAAAAGCCUCUAGAUAGAAAAUAGGUGCCCGUACCGCAAACCGACACAGGUAGUCAAGAUGAGAAUUCUAAGGUGAGCGAGCGAACUCUCGUUAAGGAACUCGGCAAAAUGACCCCGUAACUUCGGGAGAAGGGGUGCUCUUUAGGGUUAACGCCCAGAAGAGCCGCAGUGAAUAGGCCCAAGCGACUGUUUAUCAAAAACACAGGUCUCUGCUAAACCGUAAGGUGAUGUAUAGGGGCUGACGCCUGCCCGGUGCUGGAAGGUUAAGAGGAGUGGUUAGCUUCUGCGAAGCUACGAAUCGAAGCCCCAGUAAACGGCGGCCGUAACUAUAACGGUCCUAAGGUAGCGAAAUUCCUUGUCGGGUAAGUUCCGACCCGCACGAAAGGCGUAACGAUUUGGGCACUGUCUCAACGAGAGACUCGGUGAAAUCAUAGUACCUGUGAAGAUGCAGGUUACCCGCGACAGGACGGAAAGACCCCGUGGAGCUUUACUGUAGCCUGAUAUUGAAAUUCGGCACAGCUUGUACAGGAUAGGUAGGAGCCUUUGAAACGUGAGCGCUAGCUUACGUGGAGGCGCUGGUGGG